UAACAGGCUCUGGCAUCUCCUGAAGCUCUGCACUCAUUAACACACUGGGAGAAGGGACAAUGAAUUGUGACUCGGAAAUUAAUCAGAUGAGACCUGAUGACUGAAGUACAUCACAGAGCUAGGAAGAGAGAUUACUAAGCAACACGCCCUUUUUUUCAGACAUCUCAGUUGACAACCUGAGCAAUAGCUCUGACCUGGAAGCAUCCAGCUUUAUAGCCAAAGAGAAAAAGCGCAGACCUUUGUCCCAGAAUUCUCAUCAGAAGUGUCUUUCAUCUCAUUGGCCCUGUGUGAGUCAUGUGCCCACCCCUAAACCAAUCACCAUGGCCUCAGGAAUGCAUUGUGAUGAGUAGUUUAGGCUGGGGUCAGUUUUAUCCCCAUCCAAACAACAGAGCUGAAAUCCGAGGAGAAAUGAUUUCCCAAAGAAAAUUCCAAGGAUCAUUUAACAGAAGAAAUGUACAAGAUGCUGGGGACAGAACUACAGGCAUCCCCCAAGCUCCCAAGGCCUGUAACAAACCUCCACUGCCCUAGGACUCAGCCUCCUGAGGAACCACUUCUCUGUGUAAAUACUUAAACCCAUCCCAUGGC
rnacentral:lncRNA from 1 species